rnacentral:rRNA from 1 species
UACGAAGGGGGCUAGCGUUGCUCGGAAUCACUGGGCGUAAGCGCACGUAGGCGGACUCUUAAGUCGGUGGUGAAAUCCUGGAGCUCAACUCCAGAACUGCCUUCGAUACUGGGAGUCUCGAGUCCGGGAGAGGUGAGUGGAACUGCGAGUGUAGAGGUGAAAUUCGUAGAUAUUCGCAAGAACACCAGUGGCGAAGGCGGCUCACUGGCCCGGUACUGACGCUGAGGUGCGAAAGCGUGGGGAGCAAACAGG